rnacentral:rRNA from 1 species
UAAUACGUAGGGUGCAGGCGUUAAUCGGAAUUACUGGGCGUAAAGCGUGCGCAGGCGGUUUCUUAAGUCAGAUGUGAAAGCCCCGGGCUUAACCUGGGAACUGCGUUUGAAACUGGGAGACUUGAGUGUGGCAGAGGGGGGUGGAAUUCCACGUGUAGCAGUGAAAUGCGUAGAUAUGUGGAGGAACACCAAUGGCGAAGGCAGCCCCCUGGGUCAACACUGACGCUCAUGCACGAAAGCGUGGGGAGCAAACAGGAUUAGAUACCCUGGUAGUCCAC